GAGUUUGAUCCUGGCUCAGAGCGAACGCUGGCGGCAGGCUUAACACAUGCAAGUCGAGCGGGCAUCGCAAGAUGUCAGCGGCAGACGGGAGAGUAACACGUGGGAACAUGCCCUUCGGUUCGGAAUAACUCAGGGAAACUUGAGCUAAUACCGGAUACGUCCGUAAGGAGAAAGAUUUAUCGCCGAAGGAUUGGCCCGCGUCCGAUUAGCUAGUUGGUGAGGUAACGGCUCACCAAGGCGACGAUCGGUAGCUGGUCUGAGAGGAUGAUCAGCCUCACUGGGACUGAGACACGGCCCAGACUCCUACGGGAGGCAGCAGUGGGGAAUAUUGGACAAUGGGCGCAAGCCUGAUCCAGCCAUGCCGCGUGGGUGAUGAAGGCCCUAGGGUUGUAAAGCCCUUUCGGCGGGGAAGAUAAUGACGGUACCCGCAGAAGAAGCCCCGGCUAACUUCGUGCCAGCAGCCGCGGUAAU
rnacentral:rRNA from 1 species